GGCUCAGGAUGAACGCUAGCGGCAGGCCUAAUACAUGCAAGUCGAACGGUAACAUGAGUAGCAAUACUUGAUGACGAGUGGCGCACGGGUGCGUAACGCGUAUGCAAUCUACCUUUAACCGGUGAAUAGCCCGAAGAAAUUCGGAUUAAUACACCAUAGUAUGAUGAGGAGGCAUCUCCUUAUCAUUAAAGUUCCGACAGUUAAAGAUGAGCAUGCGUGACAUUAGCUAGUUGGUGAGGUAACGGCUCACCAAGGCCACGAUGUCUAGGGGAUCUGAGAGGAUUAACCCCCACACUGGUACUGAGACAGGGACCAGACUCCUACGGGAGGCAGCAGUAAGGAAUAUUGGACAAUGGUGGCAACACUGAACCAGCCAUGCCGCGUGAAGGAUGACGGCCCUCUGGGUUGUAAACUUCUUUUGGAUGGGGCGAAAAAACGGGAUUUAUCCUGGACUGACGGUACCAUCAGAAUAAGCACCGGCUAACUCCGUG
rnacentral:rRNA from 1 species